GCUUGGUCUCUGGACGUUACAUUGAUCAGCAUAAUACUUCAGAAGAUCUUUGAAGUUUGAAAAGCCAAAAUGUUAAUGCUUGGAUUUUAAAACGCAAUUUCAAAAGGAUUUGAAAUUUACUUUGCGGUAGUAAAUAAAACGGUCUUACUUUUAAAGUUAUGUAAAGUAGUUAUUACUUUUAUUAAAGUUAUGUAAAGUAGUUAUUACCGCCUUAGUAGUUAUUACUUUUUACAGUUUUGGAAAACAACUCGAGAGCAGGGCGAGACAUUUGUUUUAACAGCACGUUUCAUCUUACCGCCGAGUUCAACACGUAAGAUGAGGCCAAUAACCAAACUAAACCUGCACUUAAUUAAAGAAAUAAACUUCAGAUCCAAACUGUUUCCCUAGGGGUUCCGCAAAGGUCAUCUCUUAUAUUGAUUCAGAAUUACUAUACCGGAGGAUCUCUAAACAAAACUAAAUUUUAUUCGUAUUGCAUUAAUAGCUCUAUCAGUUCU
rnacentral:lncRNA from 1 species